GCAUCACUGACUUGAUGGACAUAAGUUUGAGUAAACUCCGGGAGAUGGUGAAGGACAGGGAAGCCUGGCGUGCUGCAGUCCAUGGGGUUGCAAAGAAUCGGACACGACUGAGCCAUUGAACAACAGGGUCUUGGCAGAGACUUACGACCGUCUGGAUCGCGUGGCAAUUUCCCAACCGGGAAGAGUCAACUUGAUCAAUCGCAACUUGAAAAAAAAAAAAAAACGGGGAAAGUUCUGCAGGAGGACAGAUUCUUGGAAGAUGGGA
ensembl:lncRNA